CUCCUGCAAGCAGAACUCCACAAACUCUCCAGGACUCUCCACAAACUCUCUGACAAAAGGAAUCCAUAUUUGGUGACAAACACUACCACAAUCUUGGCCAAAGACUGCUGCCAUCUGUUCUUUUCAUCUCAGAAGUACCGACAUUGCCUCCCCUUCUAGACUAUAAACUCCCUGUGGGCAGGGAGUGUGUCUAUUAACUCUACUAUACUGUACUCUCCUAGGCACUUAGCAGGGUGCUCUGCGCACGUUAUAGGCUUAACCAUCUCAUCCACCUGGAAGAGCAUGAGAAUGGAGGCAUCUGUCUGCAGUGCGUGUCGGCUAGAUGGUACCCAGAGCCACAGGUGCAGUGGAAAGAUGCCAAGGAAAGAUAAUCCCGUCCCUGUCUGAGUCCCACCCCCAUGAUGGAGGUAGCCUGUUUAGUGUGGUAGCAUCUAUGAUUGUCCAAGAUGACUCUGUGAGUACUGUGUCCUGUUCCCCCUGGAACCCCCGCAUUGACCAAAAGAAGAAGUCGGCAAUUUCAAAGCAGAUGAGGAAAUUGAGGCCCAGAAAAGUGAAG